UGUGGUCAGUCGCUCGAGGAGGGCCUCGACAAUCAUGAGGUGCGCCAGCGACCGGUGUCCAGCGCACUGGAUACUGCGGGAUGGGAUUUAUUACUCUAAGUAAUUCAAAAACUGCGAUUUCGACACUCAACGUUUAAAGCUGGACCGACGAUUGGGCAGCACAAUCAUUCCCCUACUCCCUGGGUGCUUAAUUGCAAUACAAUGUUCCAGGAACUAAAGAGGAGGGCUUCAGAGGAGAGUAUUCCUCUGAAUGCCAUAUAUGAGGAAGAAGCUGCCAGAUAUCCGGAUGCUGCAUCUCACCUGCUCUACGAGAGUGUGCUGCCCUCGAUGCGGAAGUGGAGGAGAAACUCACAGCCGGCUCAGCCACUCACCUUGGAGGAAUAUGCGGUGGCCUAAUAAGGCUUGUUAAGUCCUGUUCUUUUCGCCACUGUGUCGGUGGCGGAAGGAAAAGCUGUCAUAUUAGUCAUGCGCGGUUUCGAACGUUGCAUCGCUGACAGUGAAGUGCUAGUCAUCGAUGGAACAUUCCUGACUGUCCCAGCUGGAUUGUCAAUUUGCCAAAUUUUAACGGUACACAGUAUAAUUGCUGGACACAAUUUUCAUCCUGCUGUAGUCCUGAUGCAGAACCGUCCUCUGUAUGAGGCAGUUUUCCUUAGAAUUUGGCAAGCAGCUGGCAAUCCAAGACCACAACAAAUUAUAACAGAUUAGAGAGUGCAAACGAGCAGAUUGUUGGACGUAGGCAUUGAGGCUGUUGUAGAUGACGUCCCAGAAUUCGCUCAAGAAGUUGUCAUUGCAGACAACAUUGAGCAGGUAGCACCGGAGGUGGUCCAGGCUCCUAUUCUGGUACCCGCCGAUGUCCUGCCCGCGUCUCCCCCCCGCGUCUCCCCCCCGCCACGAUAAUGAUCGCGAACCUCAACCCCUUCGUUGCAACAUCUGUGCGACUAACUCACUCGAAGUGGU